CCAUGGGGUGGUGAGAUGUUGGGGUGAUGGGUCUCCAUGGGGUGGUGGGAUUUGGGGUGGUGGGAUCCCAUGGGGUGGUGAGAUGCUGGGGUGGUGGGUCUCCAUGGGGUGGUGGGUCUCCAUGGGGUGGUGGGAUCCCAUGGGGUGGUGGGAUCCCAUGGGGUGGUGAGAUGUUGGGGUUGUGGGUCUCCAUGGGGUGGUGGGAUUUGGGGUGGUGGGUCUCCAUGGGGUGGUGGAUUUGGGGUGGUGGGAUCCCAUGGGGUGGUGAGAUGUUGGGGUUGUGGGUCUCCAUGGGGUGGUGGGAUUUGGCGUGGUGGGUCUCCAUGGGGUGGUGGAUCUCCAUGGGGUGGUGGUCUCCAUGGGGUGGUGGAUCUCUAUGGGGUGGUGGUCUCCAUGGGGUGGUGGAUCUCUAUGGGGUGGUGG
rnacentral:lncRNA from 1 species